UUGGCAGAGACAGAGGCAGAGGCAGAGGCAGAGGCAGAGAGGCAGAGAGGCAGAGGCAGAGAGGCAGAGGCAGAGAGGCAGAGAGGCAGAGAGAGACAGAGGGGCAGAGGCAGAGGGGCAGAGGCAGAGAGGCAGAGAGAGACAGAGGGACAGAGGCACAGGGGCAGAGGCACAGGGGCAAAGGCAGAGAGGCAGAGGCAGAGAGGCAGAGGAAGAGAGAAUGGAUCUCUGUUGGAGGCCAGCCUAGACUACAGAGUAAGUUCCAGGACAGCUAGAGCUACACAGAGAAACCCAGUCUCAAAAAACAAACAAGU
rnacentral:lncRNA from 1 species